UCUUGUAAAAAUUUUCUAAUGGGGUUUUCCCUAAAGAAUUAUUUCCAAGGGAAAUGGUCGAUAGGGCAUAGCUUGAAAAGGCUAUACCUCCCGUAUUUGGAAAGGGAAUCAUUCGGGUUUAAG
rnacentral:ncRNA from 2 species